CGCUGGAUUGCGCUGGGCUAGGUAGCUCUGGUUCUGGCUCGGGCUCAGGCUCGUCUUCUGGUUCUGGCUCCGGUUCGAGUUCCGGUUCGGCGUC
rnacentral:tRNA from 1 species